UUAGCGCCCUCUCUUGGUAAAAAGUUGACACUGCAAUCAGUGAGAUUUCGUAAGGUGUCGCCUCAGUGUUGUUAUGUUGGUCAUAGUUUUUUUACACUUGUUAAAGAUUUUACUUCUUGAUCCAUACCACUCAUUUUAACAUUAGGAUUUAGGAUCUAGCAUACCCAUUAGGAUGUCAGAGUUCGUGACUGCGAUUUGAACCGUCGUGCCCCUGUGUCAAACGCAGCAAACCACCGGAUUGCUCAGCAGCAAGGCUCUUGUGUGAUCACACGUGAUCUCACAAAAUUGAGACCAGCAGAACGUAGCGGAUAUGCACACGUGUUUACCGAGUGUGUCCAAAGCCAAAGCGUUGUGAAAUGGAAAAUGCUUCUUGGCAUUUGGGGAAUACACUUUUAUACAAUUGGCCCCAGUGUAAGCUUUUCAACCCUGGCUCCCCCAAAGCCUUCUGACUGCGCAGCGCCGGAUCAGUAACUUGUGUAAGACAAAUAGAGACAAUUUUUCCAGAUGGCCUCACUUCCUCUGCAUCCCACUGUUCCCCACUUGGAACUUCCCAGAGCACACAUUUGCAUCAGGUCACCGCUCGCUUCCACGAGUGGUAUAAUCCUGCCGAGCUUGCCACCCUGAAAAUGCUCUCUUUGCAAGUACAGCGGGAGGUCGAUCACAAUCCGUUCCGGCGCGCCGGUCAACCUUUUCAAUUUGUUCACGUUUUAAAACCAUUCGUCCCACAGGGCGGGGGGGGGAAUUUAGCACUUUAGCUGUUCCAGGAUCAAAUUGUUGACAUUGUAAAGACAUUAUUAACUGUACAGGCAGUGUUUUAAACCACAUUUUUAAACUGUUGUGGAAUAAUUGUCAUCCCUCAGAGAUGACUGUGCUGAGUUUUUGAAGUUUCCAAGAUGAGCUGUGAUUGGUUGUGACCUGAUUUCGAGCAACUGUGAUGUCAUUGCUCAAUUCAUAUU